UACAGAGGUCCCAAGCGUUGUUCGGAUUCAUUGGGCGUAAAGGGUGCGUAGGCGGCGGGGUAAGUCAGGUGUGAAAUCCCGGAGCUCAACUCCGGAACUGCACUUGAUACUACCUUGCUAGAGUACUGGAGAGGAGACUGGAAUUUACGGUGUAGCAGUGAAAUGCGUAGAUAUCGUAAGGAAGACCAGUGGCGAAGGCGGGUCUCUGGACAGUUACUGACGCUGAGGCACGAAGGCCAGGGGAGCAAACGGG
rnacentral:rRNA from 1 species